rnacentral:rRNA from 1 species
UACGAAGGGGGCUAGUGUUGCUCGGAAUCACUGGGCGUAAAGCGCACGUAGGCGGGUUGCUAAGUCAGGGGUGAAAUCCUGGAGCUCAACUCCAGAACUGCCUUUGAUACUGGCGAUCUUGAGUCCGGGAGAGGUGAGUGGAACUGCGAGUGUAGAGGUGAAAUUCGUAGAUAUUCGCAAGAACACCAGUGGCGAAGGCGGCUCACUGGCUCGGUACUGACGCUGAGGUGCGAAAGCGUGGGGAGCAAACAGG